rnacentral:ribozyme from 13 species
AGAGUGAGAGAGCAGAGAGCAAGAGAGAGAGAGAGAGAGGGGUGAGUUGUGAGUGUUGUGUGGUGAUCCAUUUUUUUAAUUUUUGUUUUUUCUCACAAC